AAUUAGGUUGUUGUUUGUCAUUUUGUUUUUCGUAUUAAUUUUGCAAAUUAUUUUUUUGUCUUGCAUUCGUUAUGUGUACAUGCUGGCCUGUUUUUACGUGCUUUGUCCUGAAUUCACACACUCAAAUUAUUGGUGACAUUGGAAUCAAAGAUUGGACAUUUUAAAUUUUAAAUCGUGUAUUACUGUACAAAUGCAAGGAUAUCCAUUGUUUGAAAACUAAAAUAUAGGAUAAAAUGAUCCUAAAUGUAUAUUACCUUACAUAAACUUAACUGAACUCAAGUGCAAUUAAUGUUUAAGUAGGAGAUAGAGGAAAUAGUGAUAAACAAAUGUAAACUAAUUUAAUCAAGUAAAUUAACUUAAGUGGUUAACCAACUCCGCUUAAAGACGAAUCAUUUUUGGAAAAAAUUAACUUAUUUAUCGAUCGAACUUCAAAUUCUAAGGAUCCUUUUUUUUUUUUUUUUUUUAAAAUAGGGAUGGGGAAAGUUGAAUUUUGAAUUUUAAAUGACCACUUUUAUCCGGUAUAGGAGAGUUAACACACAGAGAUAUUCUUCCAUGGUCACAAGACCAAAUCAAUAAUAUUUGAACAUACAUACAUAAAAAGAUUCUCCUCAAAAUAUUCAAUCAUCUUUUUUUAUCAAUUUCUUUCUUAUUAUUAAAAAAAUAUUUUUUUUAUGCGUGUGACCAAACACUUUUUCUUUGAUCAUGUGACGAUAUUAAAAUUUCUCUAAGAUAAGAAAUAUACAUCGUCAUUACUCCAUUUGUAUUUUUUUCUUGGAUAUUUUUUUUGGAAUAUUCUCUCAUAUGCUUGAGACGGCGAUGUUGUUAGUGAGGCGUGCGUGCUACUUUGGUACUUAAUAAUUGAUAAAAGAGACCACUAAUGGACAAAACAUGAAAGUAAAUUUUAGGCCAUGUUAACUAUUACAGUUAGGAUAGGGGCAAUAGUCAAAGAAACAAAAAGCUAAAAAUUUCUAUUGAAAAUAUCAUUUCUUUUUUGUUUUUAAUAGUUUGAUUACACAAGUUUAAAUUUUAUUUUAUUAUAUUUGUUUUUUUAACCAAUGACUCAGAAACAUUUGUUAAUAUUUUCUAUUAUAACACCAUCUCCAUGAUCCAUUCCCUUUCACUGUUACACUUUUUUAUCAGCUUUGGUGCACGAACAUGUCAAAUUAUGGAGAUCAGGUGAAGAAAAUUAAAGGAAAUAAGUAGAUGAAUAAUGUUCUAAUUUGGAAGUUAAGUUUAAAGAAAGAAAUUUUCACUACCAAUAUUAUGUAUCCUAAACAAAUCUUCUGCUGUUCAACAUCAAAUAAUUUAUGAAUUAAUCUAUCAUGGAAUAUAUUUAAAAAUUAUGCAUGAAUAAAAGAUAAACGAGUAACAAGUUACCCCGCUAUUUCUUUUAACAAAAUUGAGACAAGAUAAAAUUUGUACAAUUAAGCCAAAGCUUGUAAAUCAGAACUAAAGUAAGUGAGUAGAGAUUGUCCAUUAGUGAGGUGUAACAUAAUUCCUAUUUCUUUAUAACUACAUACAUUUUCCAUCAAUACGACCCUGAUCCGGUUCAUUAAAAUGUCAUGAAACUAUCUUUCUUUUUUAGGGAAUGAAACUAUCUUUAGAUAAUACAUUAUUUUAAGAAAAAUGCUAACUUAUGUCCUAAAGGCAUAAGCUAAGGAUUUAAAAAUAGAAUUAAAAAAUAAAUGUUGCAUUGAAAUGAUAAGUUUUUAAGCUUUUAAGACACAAGUUAAAUUUCCAAAAUUAAAUUUUUACAUUUAAUUUCUUAUCUUAUUCUCUUAAGACACAAGUUAGCAAAACCUUUAUUUUAAUGUUAUAUGCUUA
rnacentral:lncRNA from 1 species